UACUAAUUAGCUUCUAGCUAGAAAAAUCCUGUCAUUUGUAAGUUUUCUUUUUUAAAACUUUUAGGAAUUGAAAAACAUGUACAGUUGUUUUUCAUUAUGGCUAUAUUUUAUGAAGUCUGUGAAACACAGGAUUAGCAAAUCCUGAACCACCAUAUCUGAGGAAAGUAGGGGGCUCAGCCACUACAAACCUCUUUAUAGCAUUUAGUCAACCAACAGUAAACCUGCUUUAACUGUCUCUGCUUAAAAGAUAUGUCGAUAUAUGUGAUUGACUCCUUAGCAUUGAAUGGAAUAUUAAUUACUACCUGAGUGAAGAUUUUCUACAUAUUUUAUCCAUAAUUUACAUCAUUAUAUUUUUGCCCUUAGGGAACAAUGUUAACACUACCAUUGGUGACUAUUUUAAACAAACAACAAAAAGCACAAAAGUGAAAAACAGACUUAAACAGCAAAACAGUCCAAGAUCUAGAAGAAAACAGCCCUGGAAUAGAAUUUAUUGAUGAAUCAUGCCUGGAAAUAGUUUCUAGUCGUAUCGUUAGCAAAUUGCUUUUUUCUCUGUUACAGCAAUAUUUCAGGUCUAUUCAUUGAUUGAGUAAUACUGAGCUCUUUGAAAUGUCAGAAUCUGCUAAGGCACACCCAUGAAUGGAAAUGCAAUUCUGCCACCAUGGAGCUCCAAGCAGUGUGGCAUCAAUCCAGGAAGGAGCCAAGGGCCAACAUCAAUGUCAUGUAACAACAAAACAGGAAGUGGUCCCCUUUUGCCCCAAAGUUGCAGUCCCUGUCAUCUGAAAACUGUUAAGGACGAGGUAAGUCAAGUACAGAGCAGAGCCCUGUGUGCACUGGUGAGCUUUGAGAAGGAAAGGGACAUGAAGCGGGGGUUCGGGAAGGGCCAUUAGCUACCACCCCUCCUGAUUCCCUGUGCUUCCUUCUUAGCAUUGGCAGAAACACUUCCCAGAUUUGGAAAAUUGCCUUCCAGGAGUUUACAAGCCCAAGUGAAAGAGACCUGUGAUAGAGGGUAAAGGUACAACAGAGUAGCUCAGAUGGGCUGCUUGGUUUCAGAUGCGCCAGCAUAGAGUCC
rnacentral:lncRNA from 1 species